UCACGCUUCAGUAAAUGGACGUGUUGCCGACAAAUUUCCAUUACAAUUUAUUACGAAAUGCCUUUCACCUAGCUAAAUCACUCAAAAUGGGUAAAAAUAUCAAAUUUGUAAUAAAGCAGCCAAAAAUGUUUAGCUUUGGAAAUAACCUUUUUUUUGUUGUGAAAAAAAAAACAAUUCUGAUAAAGUAGUUUGAUUUCGAAAAAACGUGUAUCGCACUGUUGUGUAAUUGACCAAUUGACCAUUUGCAAUAUUCUGCGCCGAAGAAUGCAAUGGAUCGAAUAGAUACAACUUCUGACUUUUCCGAGCUGGAGUCCUUGAACGAAUACAGUCAACACAACCUGCAUCAACGGGUCCCUGUUGAAAGAAUGGAAGUUAAUAUGAACGAUGCCUACUAUAACAGAAAGAGACGGAGUUCUUCUUUUAAGUGGAAAUGGGCCAACUGCUUUGCUGUGACCGUAUACCUAAUCGCAAUCGCUACACCAAGUACAAUGCUGUUUUACAGAUAUUUUUUGAUGGAAUGGCCAUACCAAUCUGUGUAAUCGCUUUUAUGGUAUAUUGCUUUAUUCAUGUUGUUUUAAUGUUUAAGUUGUUGUAACACAUUCUACAUAUUUAACAAUGUUCAUUAAUCAUAUAUUGCAAGACAUGCCAUUAAGAUAAAUACACAUAAUGUUGUUGGUAAUACAGUAUUUUAUUAUGUCAAUGUUCUUCACUGUGUUGUUAAUUGUAAUAAAACUUUUGUUGUAACAAUUUA